rnacentral:tRNA from 1 species
GGCUUGCUGGUCUAGUGGUAUGAUUCUCGCUUAGGGUGAAAGAGGUCACGGGUUCGAUUCCCGUGCAAGCCC